AUGCACAGAAGGAAAUCCAGCUAACCGUCCCACAGCAACUGAAAUCUAUGAAUUGUUGCUUGUGCAUACAAAUACUUUCACUAGUUCAAGGAAUUAGGUGCAUGUGUAGAUUAACCUUUAGGAAAUAGUUCAUUCCUAGUCCCAAAUUUUUGUAGCCCUAGAAUGUUGUAUUACUAUAUUUAAUAUUUAUUUCCUUUCAAAUCAAUUGGUUGGGCUUAUCCUGAAUUUGUUAUAGCAUAAUUGUAGUUACAGGUUUAGGAUUAGCAUCAUGAGCUUUAUUCAGUGUGACUUUGCCCAGGAUUUAGAUUCAAAUCAGCACAUUCUGCCCCUGUAAUCUAAUUGGGAUCAUUAAAUUUUGUAUGGGUUGUGCAUUUGUAAGCUAACCUAUUUAAAUUAUUACAUCUAUCAAUGUUGGAUUUG
rnacentral:misc_RNA from 1 species